rnacentral:rRNA from 1 species
UGUAAGCGUAUACCAAAGUUGUUGCAGUUAAAACGCUCGUAGUCGGAAUUUGGCAGUUCCGGAUGUGUGCACGUCGUGUGCGCACUUCGCGGGGAUUGCUUUUGUGGUCUUGCGUAGGAUGACGCACUUUUAUUAGUGAACGUCCUCACGCAACCACUUUUUACUGUGAGAAAAUCAGAGUGCUCAAAGCAGGCAUUUGCCGUGAAUGUAUUAGCAUGGAAUAAUAGAAUAGGACUUGGUUCUAUUUUGUUGGUUUGUUGGGACUGAGUAAUGAUUAAGAGGGACAGUUGGGGGCAUUUGUAUUUCGGUGCUAGAGGUGAAAUUCUUAGAUUACCGAAAGACAAACUGCUGCGAAAGCGUCUGCCAAGGAUGUUUUCAUUGA